AACCGUUUAGGGGUAAACCUGAGAAACCCGAAAGGUCGAAGGAAGAAAUUCAUUCGUGUUUCGUCAUUGACAAAACUGUGUAUAUUAGACAAUAAAUAAGUUUGAAUCAUCUAUAUGUUGAUUUUAGAUUUAGUAGUUGCUAUAUAUCUAUUUUGGAUCUGAUGAUGAACGCGUGCAUUUUUCUUCUGGUAGGACGUUGCGAUCUGUUAGGGUAUCAUUAUCGAUCUAUGAUGCUUUAUGGUUUAGUUCAUUGAUACAUUUAUAAUUUUUUUAUAUAUGAUAAUAUUAAUGAAGCCGUACCAAUCUGAUCGAUUUACCUGACGGUAAAAUUAUGGUUAAAAGUCGCUUUUAAAAUAUAUUAGCGUUAGAGGCUAGACAAGUAUAUGAAUCGUGUAAUGACAUGAUCGUUAUUCAUAUUGAUGGUGAUUGUGCCCUCGGUAAUCGGUAUUUAUAUCAAUUCCGAGCCGUUUAUAUACUGAUAGUUUGGCAUAUCUCUAACUGACUUUAUUAUUUUUUUAAAUAAAACCAAUCAGCAACGCUAUAGCUUUGGGUAAUUUCAGGA
rnacentral:rRNA from 1 species